rnacentral:rRNA from 1 species
UACGUAGGGUGCAAGCGUUGUCCGGAAUUAUUGGGCGUAAAGAGCUCGUAGGCGGUUUGUCGCGUCUGCUGUGAAAACCCGAGGCUCAACCUCGGGCCUGCAGUGGGUACGGGCAGACUAGAGUGCGGUAGGGGAGACUGGAAUUCCUGGUGUAGCGGUGAAAUGCGCAGAUAGUCAGGAGGGAACACCCGGUGGCGAAGGCGGGUCUCUGGGCAACAA